rnacentral:rRNA from 1 species
AACGGCCGCGGUACCCUGACCGUGCAAAGGUAGCAUAAUCACUCGCCCCUUAAUUAGGGGCUAGAAUGAAUGAACUAACGUGAGCCUUACUGUCUCUUUUGUGAGCACAAAAAUUAACCUCUGGGUGAAAAGGCCCAGAUUACACUAAUAGACAAGAAGACCCUAUCGAGCUUAAUCGCCAACACAUUAAAAAAAAUAAUGUGAAUUAAACCUAUUUAAUGUUAAAGCCAUUUAGUUGGGGCAACAGAGGAACACCAAAAGCUUCCUAUACCUAAAUAAAUCUAACCAUAAAAAGACCCAUAAACAUGAUCAAAGAAUAAACGCUACCGUAGGGAUAACAGGUUAAUUUUUCUCGAGAGCCCACAUCAACAGAAAAGUUUGACACCUCGAUGUUGGCUUAGGCUAUCCCAUUAAUGCAGAAGUUAAUGAAGGUGGGUUUGUUCAACCCUUAAUAGCCUACGUGAUCUG